CACAUCAGCGCGACCUGCUGACGUGGAAGGAAAUCGCUUUGAUUUCCUUCCACGUCAGCAGGUCGCGCUGACGUGG
rfam:Gossypium hirsutum cultivar TM-1 chromosome 9, whole genome shotgun sequence